GUCCGUCCCACCCUGAUGGUGCUUCCCCCCUCCAGUGAGGAGCUGCUGAAGGGGAAGGCCACGCUCAUGUGCCUGGCCAACAAGGGCUUCCCCUCAGACUGGAGUCUGGCCUGGAAGGUGGACGGCAGCAGCAGCAGCAGCAGCAGCAGCUGGGAGGAGAGCAGGAGCCCCGGGGUGCUGGAGAAGGACGGCAAAUACAGCUGGAGCAGCACCCUGAGGCUCCCUGCAGACCAGUGGGAGAAGGUGGGCUCUGUGACCUGUGAGGCCACCCAGGGCUCCCAGACUCCACUCUCAGAGACACUGAGGAGAGACCAGUGUUCCCAGUCCUGACCU